rnacentral:rRNA from 1 species
UACGGGGGUGGCAAGCGUUGUUCGGAAUUACUGGGCGUAAAGGGCGCGUAGGCGGCCGCCCCAGUCGCCGGUGAAAGCCUCGGGCUCAACCCGAGAAGGGCCGGCGAAACAGGGUGGCUUGAGUUCCGGAAGGGAAGGCGGAAUUCCGGGUGUAGCGGUGAAAUGCGUAGAUAUCCGGAGGAACACCGGUGGCGAAGGCGGCCUUCUGGACGGUGACUGACGCUGAGGCGCGAAAGCUAGGGGAGCAAACGGG